UGGGGAAUAUUGCACAAUGGGCGCAAGCCUGAUGCAGCCAUGCCGCGUGUAUGAAGAAGGCCUUCGGGUUGUAAAGUACUUUCAGUCGGGAGGAAGGUGUCAAGGUUAAUAACCUUGGCAAUUGACGUUACCGACAGAAGAAGCACCGGCUAACUCCGUGCCAGCAGCCGCGGUAAUACGGAGGGUGCAAGCGUUAAUCGGAAUUACUGGGCGUAAAGCGCACGCAGGCGGUUGAUUGAGUCAGAUGUGAAAUCCCCGGGCUUAACCCGGGAACUGCAUCUGAUACUGGCAAGCUUGAGUCUCGUAGAGGGGGGUAGAAUUCCAGGUGUAGCGGUGAAAUGCGUAGAGAUCUGGAGGAAUACCGGUGGCGAAGGCGGCCCCCUGGACGAAGACUGACGCUCAGGUGCGAAAGCGUGGGGAGCAAACAGG
rnacentral:rRNA from 1 species